rnacentral:rRNA from 1 species
UACGUAGGGGGCAAGCGUUAUCCGGAUUUACUGGGUGUAAAGGGAGCGCAGACGGCAGUGCAAGCCUGGAGUGAAAGCCCGGGGCCCAACCCCGGGACUGCUCUGGAAACUGUACGGCUAGAGUACGGGAGGGGCAGGCGGAAUUCCUAGUGUAGCGGUGAAAUGCGUAGAUAUUAGGAGGAACACCGGCGGCGAAGGCGGCCUGCUGGACCGAAACUGACGUUGAGGCUCGAAAGCGUGGGGAGCAAACAGG